GAAGACCUUAUAGAGCUUAUCAGGUAGGUAUCACCUUGUUUACUGGUUUCUAGUUGUAACAAAGGGAAAGAUCUAGCACAGACCAAGUGCAGAGAGAUGAUGGCUACCAUGGACAGAAGCUGGCUUCCCAGUCAGGUGGACCAGGCUGCUUCUCCCCAUAGAUAAACCAGGGCGAAUCUGGGAAGGUAAUUGUCUUCCUCUUCUCUAUAGAAUAGGGAUUUUACACACACACACACACACACACACACCUAUGUGUGUAUGUGUGUGUGUAUAUAUAUUCACAUCUGUAGUAAAUAUUAGAUUAUUAAGAAAUGCAAAACAGUAUAGAAUAGAGGGUUGGAGUCACAUUAUCUGGAUUCUUGUUCUAGCUGCACAGCAUUAGAAAUAUCUUUUAAUCUAAGUUUCAGUUUCUUUACUUAUUUAAAGGGAAUAAUAAUAGUAGUGCUUCAUUCCUGUGUCUUACUAAUGAAGUACAAAAAACGUUUCUAGCACUGAGAAAGUGCUCGAUAUCAGUUAG
rnacentral:lncRNA from 1 species